rnacentral:rRNA from 1 species
AACGAACGCUGGCGGCAGGCCUAACACAUGCGAGUCGAACGGACGUAGCAAUACGUUAGUGGCUCACGGGAGAGUAACGCGUGGGAACCUACCUUUUGGUUCGGGAUAACAUCGGGAGACUGGUGCUAAUACCGGAUAAGCCCUUCGGGGGAAAGAUUUAUUGCCGAAAGAUGGGCCCGCGUUGGAUUAGCUAGUUGGUGAGGUAAUGGCUCACCAAGGCAACGAUCCAUAGCUGGUCUGAGAGGAUGAUCAGCCUCACUGGGACUGAGACACGGCCCAGACUCCUACGGGAGGCAGCAGUGGGGAAUAUUGGACAAUGGGGGAAACCCUGAUCCAGCCAUGCCGCGUGAAUGAUGAAGGCCUUCGGGUUGUAAAGUUCUUUUGGUGGGGACGAUGAUGACGGUACCCACAGAAUAAGCUCCGGCUAACUUCGUGCCAGCCGCCGCCGUAA